AGAAAAGAAACUAAAGUGCAGAACAAAGUUAGCUUGGGUUUCCUGUGACCUUGGGGUGUUUGGUGCAAAUAUCUUUGAUUUAGGAACUGAAUAAAAGACAAAUAAUUUGUGGUUGAUCUGAUAGUCAAUUAAUACUAUGAAAAGGUCAAAACUUUAUGAUAUUUAGCCAUGAAAAUCUCAUUUCUUCAUUUGUAAAAAAAAAAAAAACAAACAGUUGCCAAAGGUAAUUCAGUAUCUACAAACAUUCAGAUUAAAAGAUGGCUGAAGUUUUGAAACUGAGAUUUCCUCUUUGCUGAAUAGCUAAAGAAUAUUAUUUAAAGGAUGGAAAAAUCACUUAAACUGAGCAGGGAGGUGAGGCAUUGACUUAAGCCAGAAAAACUAUAUCUGAAACCAAACUUUGCAAGAGAUUUCUGGAUAUUGUGUCUUAACUAAUUACUUAGACUACCCUCACAAAACUUAAAUCUAAAUGAAUGUUGUCCCAAAGCUUUUGAGAGCAUGAAAAAGAUGGAAGAAGAGCAGAAUCUGAUUCAGCUUUUUUGUAUUUUCUCUACCCAUGAGGCAUUUUGAUAGAGUCAACAGUUCCUCUGUCACAUUCUGUAGAGGUUUUCUGUUAAAAGAAAAACAUUUAGCAGAUACUUUUCUUCUCUCCAUAUCCCACAGCACACUGCAGUCAGCCCCAGUGCCUGGCCUCCUGAGGUCUGGGUUUGCAAUAACAAUUUUUUGCCAUUGUCUCUCCUCACAGGAUCCAAAACUCUGGCAUCUCAUGGUCACUGCAGCAGAUGUUGUCUCUGUGAGAAACCACCACCCUCAGGAGACAUUAAAACUAUGAAUAAAACCUUUCUACCUGGAUUUAAAAUGCUUCCUCCCCAAUUAUUUGUUCAUGGUCUUCAGCCAGUCUUUGUCAGGCCAUGAGAGACUGCACUGAAAGAGAGGAGCCAAGCAGAAGAGAAGCAGUGACAUGCCACUUCUCAGCAAAAUGCAAAGAAAUAACACUUGAAUGAUGACAUUUGGGUGGAGAACGCACUCAGUUCUGUCUCGUGUAACACUUGAAAACUUUGCCAUGUGGUGAUCACCAGCAAAGCUCAUUGAGAAGGGAAACCUCAGUUACCUGAUUUAUGAACUAUGCCUUGCAAUCCACAGAGACAAUGCUUUCCAUAUACUGGGCUUUCCUUUUGUUUCUCACUGUUACCUUUCCUUUCAUCAGUGUUUUUGUAAGGAUACAGCUGCAGGCUCAGAACCCUGACUAAAAGAGUUUUUGGGCAAUGUCCUUGCCUUUUGUUUAAUUACAGUAUUAAGCACAUAUACAUUGCUUUAUAAACAGGAAAAAAGUGUUGAGAAUCCUUAAUGAGAACUGCUAAUCACAGCUUUUUAUGUGUGUUUAUUCAGAAAUGCUAGGUCAGUUUUUACAGUAAUUUAAAUCUCUUGCACCCUCACCAGUUUUAACAGAAAAGGCAAGAGUAGCGUAAGAAUAAAGGAGGUUGGGAUUUGUCUCCAGAGAAAAAAAUCCAGGUCUGGCAGUUGAAACUAUGCUAUAAAACAUUGGCUCAGUUAAGAUUGACAAACUUCCUGAAGAUUUACGCUGUAAAAUUUACAAAGAGGGAGAGAUGCUAGAAACAUAAGCAGCAUUUCACAGCUGUCAGUCUGAAGAGAGGAAUCACUGACACAGCCAUUGAGAGAUGUGUCAAAGUGAGGAACAGGUGAAAGAAGAGCAUCUGUGGUUUGACAAAGUACUUGACUAACCAAGCCAAAGAUGGAGGCAGUUUCAAUUGCUGCUUGUUAUUAUGAUACAGAAGAUUUCCAUAGAUCAUAAAGACCCAGAGCAGAUCCUAUUUUUAUGGGGCACUUUAUGAAAUUUUACUGAGAAACUGAAAGGAUAAACCUCACUAAUUGUGUAUAAUUACACAAUUAUGGACAGGAAUAAAAUGUCCCUGGAGUAUUUGCAAUCGUGUUAUGAUUAUCUGGGCUGCAGUAUAUUCACUUUGAUCACUUGGACUCGGUGAUUCCUCAGCUAAAUCUGCUACUCUAUUGGAGUAACAAUUCCAUAGGUUUCCUUAAUGUUUGCCUCUUCCAUUAACCUCUGUGACAACAGGCAAGAUGACUUUUUCUUAUGGAUUUACAUAGGUUGGCAUCACCUUUUUCAUCUCCUGUAGCUAAAUAGAGUCAGUGAAUUACCAUUUCCAAUGCCAUAACAGUAUGUAGCCAACUAUAAUCUUUAUAUAUUCUCCUUAUCAGUUAUUCUGAGUUAUCCUGCACUCCUCUCUCCCCAGAUUUUGAAAAAGACUCAUAAAAGCACCAAGCUAUGGAAUAUGUAGCUCCCAGCACUUUAAAACAGAUGAUGGGAGUGUAAUUAUCUUCUGAAGAUAUGUGGGUGAUGUGGAAGGAAAUUAUCCUGGGAUCUAAAUCCUAGUGUAUAUACUAUUUUAAGGGAGUUGUGAAUGACAAGGAGUCACAGUAUUUGUUCUAUUCAAAGAAAAACAGUAGUGUUUUCACCUCAGUUUCAUUAUCUCUGGUUUCUUAUGCAAGGAAGCAUAGUUUUACCUAACAUUUGAAGUCCUUAAAAUUAUUUUUCUCACGUAAUUGAUCACAUAAUUUUUUUUUUUAACCCCUGCUGGUUUUGGAUUGCCUUAUCUUACACAAAUGCUUAUAGCUCAGCCCUGACUUCAGAUGUACAAGCACCAUUCCCAGUGAAGUCAAUGGAAGCUGCACUUGAAUAUUUGAGAGAGCAUUUGGGGCCCUUUGCCUUAACACAACCAAAUAUGCUACAAAUUAUUUUUAAAUUAUAUUAGCAGAGAUCUAGCAUUUCCCCUGUGCAGCUGAUUCUGUUUGUACUGUAUCUAUCACUAAUUUUUUCAGGAAAUGUUUACAAGUGGAGUCACAUAUCAAAUCUGAUUAGCUGAAUUGUAACUACAAAAAAUAACUGGCUUAGAAUUAGGUAGCAGAGACUGGAAGUGCCUUUAGGAAUUCAAUCAAAUUUAUGCCCUUGUAUGUGGAGAGCAAUUUAGCUUUAAAAUUUAUGCCACAUGUAAUAAAUCCAAUUUAAUUUUCAAAGACCCCUUUGUUUAGCAUUGAGUUUAAAUAUAGCAUAAGCUAUUUCUCCCUCUACCUAUAAAAAAUGUAAAUUAUUCAUGUUACCUGUAUUCAGUGACCUCUAGAUGAACCUUCCUAAACCACAAAUGACCUGCUACAGCACAAGUUCAUUCCCAGACUGUGUGCACAGUGUCUAAAUUAAUCUUUCAAAGCUACAAUUACAGGUUAUGUUACUUUCAGUUUGGCUGCAGCUGAUGAUUGGCUGAUAAAUAUGACAUUUUGAUUGGUCUGAGAAAAAUUCUUAAAUUACAGCUUUUAGAACCAAAGGACUUAUAAGUUAUCUUUGUAUGCCUUGGGUCAGAUUGUCAGAACAUUUCUGUGGUCCUCAUUGCUGGUGUGUAAGAUCUAUUUUAGUUACUGUCUUAAGAUUCUUCUUCUGUUUUUCAUAAUAGACAAUAUUAGUACAUUCCCAGAGGUUCAAAUAAUGUUGUCCUACUGGCCACUUAGCUCCUUAAAAGAUAUUUCUAUUUUAUCACUGAAGUUUUUAAAUUUUCACAACUAGUUCCUGAGAAAAGAAAGUAAAAUUCCUCCCGUUUGUCCUCUCUAUGGGGUAAAAGGAAGCUUGGUUUUUUCCUUUCUUUGGCUUGAAUGUAUAUGAAAAAAAAACUGCCCAGAGAGAUGAAAUUGGCAAAACUAUGGAUCUUUGUUGAAGGUUCUGGAGAAGGGAAAAUACUACAAAACAUAGAUCUGAUUGGUUGUGUUGCAGUUGCAUCCAGGAAAAUUACAAAUUAUUUUGAUUUAAUGACGAAAACCUAAGUUAGACCAUAUAAAAUUGGAAAUCAACUAGCGUAACUUAUUGAUUUUACUCUUGCAACCAUUUCUCUUAUUUCUAAUUCAACCAUUUGACAUGGUGUGGGCCCCCUUUGCUCUGCCUCAGUGGCUUAAGGCUGUGAGAUAUGAAUAGUGCUGUGAUCAUAACCAUGUCCUCAGUUUCCAGUCUAUUGCAGCAACAUUUCUUAGCAAAUCUGCAUCUCUCCCUCUCAUCUUUUUCUUUAGCCUCAGCUUUAGGUUCUCAUCCUUUGACUUCCCCAUACAGAGUCCUUGUCCAGGCCUCUGUGGAUGGCACCUCGGCCUUCAGGUGUGAAUUAGGAUUUCAGUGCUCUAGAAUUGAUAAAUUUUUUUGCCAUCUGGUUAGACGACACCCCCUUUCCUUUUGGCUAAGCCUUUUUUGGGCACUGGGCUGCCUAAAUUGACAUCGACCACAUGGAAAAAGUACGAAUUAUUAAAUUCCUUAAAAGAGUGGAAAGUGAGAGACACAACUGAAAGGAAUCAAACUGAUGGAUCCACCAGAAGCCAGUAAGAGAUAAAUUCUUCUUCUUUGUUUGUCUUCCCUUUUCCUCUGAAUAUUAAUACACUUCUUUUAGAGGCAGGGAAAACAAUGUAGAAAGGAUAAGAAUCAAUCCAUGCACCAAAACAAAACAGCCAGGGUAACUACAGGUUUCUGGGAUCUGGCAAAAGAUCCAAGAGUUUCUACAGGCUUCUGGGGUCUGAACGGAUGCCUGGAGCAUUUUGUACUAAUAUAUCUGGAAAAUACUCAAGUCACAUAGGUGGCCCAGUGAGUGUGAGCUGUACUGAAUGCAUUAUAAAUCCUUGUGCUCAGUCUGAGUUGUUAGUUUCUUUUACCCUGUAGGCUUUGGGGGCUCUAACAAGUGCUGCAGACUGACUGCGGCUUCAGAAUUCUGUAUAGGUGCCUCAGUCUGCCAUUAAAACAAGCCAACUAAAUGAAGGCUGGGCAUUUUUGGCAAAUGGUGGUAUAUUUGCUAACUUUUUUAUUUGGGCAGUUCAUUAGCAUUAAAUCAGUACAGCUAAUACAGUACAAUUGUCAGUAGCAGGGUGACUGUCUUUAUCAUAAGCCCAUGUGAGUGACACAUAUAUCACUUUGUCAUUAGAGACGCAAAGGGGUGGCUUGUAGAUGUUAUCCUUACUGAUGUGAUUCCAAGGUAUGUAAAAAAAACCCCAAAAACCAGUUAUGGUAGCUCUCUGGAUCCUUAGUAUUAGAUUUCAAAAACCACAGGCAAUUCAAACAGCCCUCUAAGAGCAGGGGAUUAUUUUUUGUUCCUUAGGAUAUCUAUUACCUUUUGGGUUUGUGUAGCUGUAUAGCUGCCCAAGGAACUAUAAAAUGAAGCCAAAGGACCUAGUAAGUAAAAAAUAUCAUGUAAGUGCUGUCACAACUCACUUUAAUUUGUUGUAUAAAGUGCAGGUAGUGACUUAUUCCACCAUUGGAAACUCUGAUUUAAGACCUCAAAAUUUAGAACUUUCCAAAGUCAGCAGCAUUUGACCCAAGACCUCUCCAGUUAAGAAAAGUCAGAGUGCCAGGCACUCCAAAGUGCCAAACACCUUAGUUACCUUCCUUGGAUAUGAGAAGUUGGGAUCCUAAGGUCUGUUUAGACAUCCCAGUGGCUCCGUUUCCAGAAGUGCCAAGGGCCAAACUUUGGACCAGGCUCCAGUACAGGGCUUUGGUUUAAGAGUGUGAUUUUGACCCUACAAAAAGAGGUAGAGGGACUUUUUUAUGAGAGGAUGUGGUGACAAGACAAGGGGUAAUGGCUUCAAACUGGAAACAGGUAGAGUUAGAUUAGAGACUGGGAAAAAUUCUUCCCUGUGAAAAUGGUAAGGCCCUGGCACAGGCUGCCCAGAAAAAUUGUGGAUGCCUCAUCCCUGGAAGUGUCCAAGGCCAGGUUGGAUGGUGCUCUGAGCAUCCUGGUCUGGUGGAAGGUGUCUGUGCCCAUGGCAGGGGGUUGGAAUGAGGUGGUUUUUAAGUCUCCUUCCAACUGACAGUCCUGUCUUUCAGCCACUGCUCAGGGAAGGCCACGGGGCAGUGAAGUUGCUUUGCCAAAACUGCAGCUGCAGAAACACUGUAGAUCCUUGACCUUGGACUGAUGGAGCUGCUCUUGAGGAGCUGAGCCUGCUGGGAGGUAAAACUGUAAUACAAAGAGACUGGUAGUCCAAAAAAAAAAAAAAAAAAAAAAAAAUUACUACCAGCACACCUAUUGAUGAAAUACUGUUAAAGGGAUGCUGGCAGCAUUUGAAAAGUGUUCCUGGUUGUGUUUUUAAUAACAUUGGCCCAGAGAAUGAGAAUGUGUACUCUGAGUUGUAAUAACACUGAGGAAUGCACUAGACCACAAACUGAGCAUUGUAAAACUGUUGUUUUCACAUUUUCCUAAUAAAAUGCCAUGGCAUUGUAAAUCUGGUUUUAUUCUAUUUGUAAUGGCAGAAAUGUGUUUAUCAUAAAAUCAAACCCUGUUUCAAACUGUAGGCCACAGGACAGUGAUAUAUUUCAUCCUGUUCAGGAUCAUGGUUUGCAUCACUCCAGUCUGAACAAAAAAUUGCAGUGUGCUACUAAAAACCCCAUACUUUUAAAAUGCAUUAUGACACUAAGUGCUCACUCAGGUCUGUGCUGACACUGCAGUUUGUGGCAAAAUAAAUCAGAAAAUUAUAAAGCAGUUAAAUGGCAACGUGUGGAGUAAAGUAUGACUGUCUGGAAUAGUGGUAACAAAGGCUCAGUGUGAAAUGGCAAACACAACUGAUAAGCCAUGGUAUAAUUAAAUGUGCUCAAGUUUCAGUUUAUCAAAGAUUCCUUUCCUCCAAAGUGCCAAACACCCAAGUACUUAAUAAUUACAUUUAAAAUCAUGCCUCGGUCUAUAAAUCAUGAGGUUGUGACAAUUGACUUCCCUCUAAACCAGACUACUUUAUUUUGUGGUAUAAGUAUGCAUGAGCCCUGCAUCUCUACAGCAAUACAAAUGUGUGUAAAUUUGCAAGGAAGAAAUUAAAGUGAUUAGAUAUAUGAAAGCAGUCUUCAAUGUCUCAGUUGUAUCAAAAUUUCCCACAUAGAUAGAACAUUCAGCAAUAGAGCAUACCAAAUUUAAAAAAAAAAAAAAAAAAAAGCCCUACAAACUCAUUGCGAAUUGCAACAUAAAUGUUGUUCUUUAAUAAAUUAUGACAAAGAAAGCUUUUUAGGAGAUAAUGGGAUUCACAGUCACAUCCAAAUAGAAGGUACCAUGCAAAAAACUAUUAUUUUCUCAUUUUCUAGUCCUCUUGGUAUGAUGCCUGAGGUAAAAAGUGUAGGGCUUUGUGGAUCUAACGUAAAUUAUGAAUGGGAGAUUCUGUAAUUGUAAAAAAAUAGAGCCACAAAUGCCUGUAUUAAUAGACCAUUUUGAUCUGUACACUUGAUUUUUCACUUGAGAGGGCAGCAGCUUCAUCUUCUUCCACUCGAGAGGCCUGAUCCCUUCAUAAUAAGUACCCACUCCACUGUAAGCCAUUGAAUACCAAGAUCAAGCACUCACUCCUUGUGGCUCUGCUGUUCCCUUCUGGGAACCACCUAAAGCAAUUUGAGCAGAGAGGUGGAAGUGGGAGAAUCAUCCCAAAGACAAGAGGAAAAGACCAAACGCACUUGAGAUCAAGAAAGGAGCAAGCUUAACAAGGCUCUGAGCUGAGGCAGCCUCUCACAUUUUCAUUACCUUUUAUUCAUCUCCUGCAGUUCUGCCAGAAAGAUGAUGUUGCAGGAUUUUAUUGAGAGUAAGAGGGGCUGUGAUGAGAUUGCCUCAACCCGUUUAAGAAGCCGAGGAUACAAAAUAUGAUUUAGGAUACAAACUGGAACAUGCCAUGGAUACAAAAUUUAUGAUAAAAUUACAUUACAGCGGCUCAGUCUGAACAGAUCCAUGUUUCUCCUUUGUAUAAAACAUAUUGUACCAGACUCUCUGUGGGGAUACAUUUUCAGAGCUCAUUCACUUUCACAGAGCUACACAAAUCUGCACCAGGUGAGGAUCUUGCCUAAUAUUGAUUUUCUUGAUAACAUUUCAGCAAGGGAUUUAAUUCAGGAUUAAAUGUGUAUUUCCUCUCUUCCUGCUUAUAUAGCAUUCUCUGUGUGUUCUUAAGAUAUCUAUAGACAAAUGAAACAGAGGUUAUGCAUUGAUCAAUACUAGAAAAAGAAAAAAGUGGACAAAUCUAGUCAAACAAGGUUAAUCAAGGUAGUAGAUGCAGCUCUGAGUAAUAAGACGUGUUUCAAGGGAGUACAAACUAGUGAGAAAGACUUGUGGACAUCUAGGACUUCUAAAAAUCUGGGAAUGUUUAUCCCAAUCCAUCUUUAAAAUGAGACAUCUCACUGUUGAAUGUCUCUAAGCAGAAAAUACAAUCGAAGAGGAAGAUAGCCCCAGGUUGAAGAAGAUUGCUAAAGAAUAAAUCAGAAUUUGUUUUAAAAGCAACUGAAAAAGGUAUCCUUCAAAGUAUGAGGGUGGUUUUUUUUUAAAAAAAAAAUCAGUCUUCAUGUUAUAAAAAUAACCUGAGGAUGUUUCAAAAUGGGACUAGGAAGCCAGGAAGCUACUGGAGAGGGCCCAGCAGAGGCUAUAAAGGUGAUGAUAGGUCUGGAACAUCUCUUAUGAGGAAAGUCUCAUAGCCUGGUUAGUCUGGAGAAGAGAAGGCUGACAUUAUUGCACACAAAUAUCUCCAAGGUGGGUGCCAACAGGAUGGUGCCAGACUCUUUUCAGAGCAGCCCACUGUACAGGACAAGGAGCAACAGCCAUAAACUAAAACACAAGAAGUUUCAUGAAGAACUCAACAUGAAGAACUUCAUACUGAGGGUGGCAGAGCACUGGAACAGCUGCCCAGGGAGGGUGUGGAGUCUGUCCCUCUGGAGACACUCCAAACCCACUUGGACACAUUCCUGUGUCACCUGUUCCUGGUGACCCUGCCUUGGAGUGGAUUAUUCCCAGAGGGCUCUCCAAAAAUUAACUAUUCUGUGAAUUUUACUUUUCUAACUCAAGCACCUUUGUAGAAGUUAUUCAUUAUUCUGUGAAAUCACUGGGGGUCUGCCACAGGUAAAUUCAGAAAACUGCUUGGGAAUAAAGUACCCAUGUGGGUGCUUGAAAUAAUUUUAGAAAAACAUCUACAUCAAAUAUCUAUAACUACUUGCAAAACCAAAAAGGUUGCUUAAAUUCCCAAUAAACUUCCAGCAUCUCCCUGGAUGUGCUGCAGAUUGGACCUUUCAUCAUACACUAGAGCACCUUAGCAAGA